rnacentral:piRNA from 1 species
AAGGAUGACACCGCACUGACUCUG